ensembl:snoRNA
UAUGGCGAUGAUGAUACACUUGCCCUCACUGAGAACACUGUUCGGUAAUGAGAAGUACUCAGAGGAGCUGAGCCAGU